rnacentral:lncRNA from 1 species
AACACUCUACGCAGCCACUCCGCAGCCCCUCCAUCCGGGGAUGGCGCUGCAUUGAAUACACCACGAAGGGCUCUCAGGUCCCGCUAGAGCGAGUCCACAAGUCUCAGCUAGGGCAAAGUCAAAGGCUCUCUGAAACAACCCCCCAAAACACCACCAACGAAAACGGGAUUCGAAGGGAAAAACAAACAAACAAACAAAAAUACGGUUAGGGCAGUCCCGGCAGGGGAGGGCUCCUGAUAUACCUAACAGGCCAACAAAAAAACCUCCAAGAGAGAAAGGCUAAGAGAGCUCGACACCACAAGACGUCUUGCAACCACCUUAAAACAACUGACCUCCACCACCUGUCCCUUCCUGGGCUGGUCCAGGGGAGAAGUAGCCUUAUAAAGAAAGGGGAUUCCGCACAAGCCUGAUCACCACUGCAGGGGCCCGGGAUAGUCCGGCGAGACCACAAAAGCGUUAGCGUUGCCACGACACACAGCUCCUAGACCCUCCAGAAAACCGCAGGGGGAGGAUUGUAGCCCGCACGGCGCCUCCCCCUUACCGCCACUAACCUGAACGGUUGGUCCUCCGGAAACCUAUUCACCCUGUCUCGUACUGCACCGUUCUCACCCUCGUCCCUCACCAAGCAACCCAGUCCCACAGAGAAGACGUGUCUAAAUAGAAUGGCCCUCCUCGGGCCACAUCUCCCCCUCAUCCGAGCCCCGCUACCACCACCAGACCUCAACCUCCCAAACACCAGAAAACCUACGUCCUUUUGGCGCUCUCACCGCCAUCUCCCCCCUCCCCUGUCCGAGCGACCCCAUCUCCCCCCGGCUCUCCAGCCCCCUACAAUCUCGGAGCGGCACUAGGGAAGAAAAAGGGUUCUUCCCUGCACGACGUGACCGCCUCCAUUCCCCGUCCUUCUCCUCUCCCUCUCCCGUCUCGGGGUUCCCUCUCACCUAUUCCCUUGACCUCCAACCCCCAUCCCCUUCGAACUCCUAUAUCCCCCCGAGCCCUGCCCUACAAACUAAGCUCAAAGCGCUCUUAGGCAAUAAUUCCCACCGCUUCGGCGCACCGCAGUGCGCCUUCUGAAACCGACAGGAUCGGGUGGUCGGGUCCNNNNNNNNNNNNNNNNNNNNNNNNNNNNNNNNNNNNNNNNNNNNNNNNNNGCUCCCGACCCCGACUCAGACUGCCAACACUCUACGCAGCCACUCCGCAGCCCCUCCAUCCGGGGAUGGCGCUGCAUUGAAUACACCACGAAGGGCUCUCAGGUCCCGCUAGAGCGAGUCCACAAGUCUCAGCUAGGGCAAAGUCAAAGGCUCUCUGAAACAACCCCCCAAAACACCACCAACGAAAACGGGAUUCGAAGGGAAAAACAAACAAACAAACAAAAAUACGGUUAGGGCAGUCCCGGCAGGGGAGGGCUCCUGAUAUACCUAACAGGCCAACAAAAAAACCUCCAAGAGAGAAAGGCUAAGAGAGCUCGACACCACAAGACGUCUUGCAACCACCUUAAAACAACUGACCUCCACCACCUGUCCCUUCCUGGGCUGGUCCAGGGGAGAAGUAGCCUUAUAAAGAAAGGGGAUUCCGCACAAGCCUGAUCACCACUGCAGGGGCCCGGGAUAGUCCGGCGAGACCACAAAAGCGUUAGCGUUGCCACGACACACAGCUCCUAGACCCUCCAGAAAACCGCAGGGGGAGGAUUGUAGCCCGCACGGCGCCUCCCCCUUACCGCCACUAACCUGAACGGUUGGUCCUCCGGAAACCUAUUCACCCUGUCUCGUACUGCACCGUUCUCACCCUCGUCCCUCACCAAGCAACCCAGUCCCACAGAGAAGACGUGUCUAAAUAGAAUGGCCCUCCUCGGGCCACAUCUCCCCCUCAUCCGAGCCCCGCUACCACCACCAGACCUCAACCUCCCAAACACCAGAAAACCUACGUCCUUUUGGCG